GAAACCAACAGGGAUUGCCCUAGUAACGGCGAGUGAAGCGGCAACAGCUCAAAUUUGAAAUCUGGCCUUCUGGUCCGAGUUGUAAUUUGUAGAGGAUGAUUUUGGUUAGGUACCUUCCGAGUUCCUUGGAACAGGACGCCUUAGAGGGUGAGAACCCCGUACGGUUGGAUGCCGAGCCUUUGUAAAUCUCCUUCGACGAGUCGAGUAGUUUGGGAAUGCUGCUCUAAAUGGGAGGUAAAUUUCUUCUAAAGCUAAAUACCGGCCAGAGACCGAUAGCGCACAAGUAGAGUGAUCGAAAGAUGAAAAGCACUUUGAAAAGAGGGUUAAAUAGUACGUGAAAUUGUUGAAAGGGAAGGAUUUAUGACCAGACCUUUGCCUUGCGGAUCAUCCGGUGUUCUCACCGGUGCACUUCGCUUGGUUGAGGCCAGCAUCAGUUUUGGCGGCGGGAUAAAGACUUCAGGAACGUGACUCCCCCGGGAGUGUUAUAGCCUGCUGUGUAAUACCGCCGCUGGGACUGAGGACCGCGCUUCGGCUAGGAUGCUGGCAUAAUGGUCAUCAAUCACCCGUCUUGAAACACGGACCAAGGAGUCGAACAUUUAUGCGAGUUUUUGGGUGUUAAACCCUCAAGCGUAAUGAAAGUGAACGGAGGUGAGAGCCCUUACGGGUGCAUCAUCGACCGAUCCUGAUGUCUUCGGAUGGAUUUGAGUAAGAGCAUAACUGUUCGGACCCGAAAGAUGGUGAACUAUGCGUGGAUAGGGUGAAGCCAGAGGAAACUCUGGUGGAGGCUCGCAGCGGUUCUGACGUGCAAAUCGAUCGUCAAAUCUGCGCAUGGGGGCGAAAGACUAAUCGAACCAUCUAGUAGCUGGUUACCG
rnacentral:rRNA from 1 species